rnacentral:rRNA from 1 species
UACGGAGGGGGCUAGCGUUGUUCGGAAUUACUGGGCGUAAAGCGCGUGCAGGCGGUUCGGUAAGUUGGAUGUGAAAUCUCCUGGCUCAACUGGGAGAGGACGUUCAAGACUGUCGGACUAGAGGACGGUAGAGGAAGGUAGAAUUCCCGGUGUAGUGGUGAAAUGCGUAGAUAUCAGGAGGAACACCUGUGGUGUAGACGGCUUUCUGGACCGUAGCUGACGCUGAGACACGAAAGCGUGGGUAGCAAACAGG